AACGUAGGGGGCAAGCGUUGUCCGGAAUUACUGGGCGUAAAGGGCGUGUAGGCGGUAUAUUAAGUCAGGGGUGAAAAUCCAGGGCUCAACCCUGGAAUUGCCUUUGAAACUGGUAUACUUGAGGGCAGGAGAGGUAAGUGGAAUUCCCGGUGUAGCGGUGAAAUGCGUAGAAAUCGGGAGGAACACCAGUGGCGAAGGCGACUUACUGGCCUGGCCCUGACGCUGAGGCGCGAAAGCGUGGGGAGCAAACAGG
rnacentral:rRNA from 1 species